rnacentral:lncRNA from 1 species
CAUCACCCACACUAAGGCACCACCUUAAGGUCACACAAAGUGCACUUACCAUGCAUACCUCAACCCUCACCAAUUGAUCACAUGAAACAUAUAAGCACAUAAGCCAACAAGUCACUUCAUAACGCUAGAACACUCAUCAAAUGUCAUCCCAAGACUCACCUAAGUAAGACAUGGUGAGGCAGCCCAUACUACCUCUCCAUACCACACCCAAGUGAUCCUUAAGGCUACACAAGACAAG